UUAAAAAAAAAAAAAAGAUACAGAUGAGAAAAUGCCUCACAGAAGCUCCAUACCAGCCUUCUUCUGUGUUUAUUGAGAUCAUCAUGUGAUUUCUGUCCUCCAUUCUAUUGAUAUGUAGUAAAUGUCUUGAGGUGAGGACCAACUAUUUGAGGUCCCCUGUUGUGAACUGAAUUGUGACCCCAAAAAGAUAUGUUCAAGUUCUAACCCCUGGUACCUGUGAAUAUGACCUUAUUUGGAAAUAGGUUCUUUGCAGAUGUAAUCAAGUAAAGAUGAGCUCAUACUGGAGUAGGGUGGGCCCUAAAUCCAAUAUGACUGAUAUCCUUAGAAGAGAAGAAGAGGAGCACCUGGGUGGCACAGUUGGUUGAGCGUGCAACUCUUGAUUUUGGCUCAGGUCGUGAUCUUGGGGUCAUGAGAUUGAGCCCCACAUCAGGCUCUGCACACAGCAGGGAGUCUGCUUGGGAUUCUCUCUCUCCCUCUCCCUCUACCCCUCCCCCUGUAUGUGCUCUCUCUCAAAUAUAUAAAUACAUCUUUAAAAAAGAGGACAAGAAGAGACAUAGACACUGACACAGAAAGAAGAAUGCCACGUGAAGAUGGAGGAAAAGAUUGAAGUGAUGCACCUAUAAGCCAAGGAAUGUCAAGGAUUGCUGGCAACCAACUGAAACUAGAAAUCUGGGUAUUAUCGGCUAUGUGGCUAACAGAGACCUGAGGUAAUGACAGAAAGUGGAGCUGUAAAGGCUGAAAAAGCAAGAAAAAGUGGAACAGAAAGAAGAAGAAGAUGAUAAGAAAAUGACAAGGAGUGUGAAGGUAAGGAUGGCAAUGAUGAUUAUUUUGCUGAAAAAGGUGGUUUUAAUAGAGAUUUUUUUGUCUCUAAAGAAGUUAACUCCUCCAUUACCAAUCUCAUAACUUUUAAAGUUAAAAAAGGAAAUUCAAUGGAAUAAACCUAACCUAAGAGGAAAGGACCUGUACUCAGAAAACUAUAGAAUACUCAUGAAAGAAACUGAGGAAGACACAAAGAAAUGGAAAAACAUUCCAUGCUCAUGGAUUGGAAGAACAAAUAUUGUUAAAAUGUCUGUGCUACCUAGAGCAACCUACACAUUCAAUGCAAUCCCUAUCAAAAUACCAUCAACUUUUUUCAUAGAACUGCAACAAAUAAUCCUAAAAUUUGUAUGGAACCGGAAAGGACCCUGAAUAGCCAGAGGAAUGUUGAAAAACAAAAGCAAAGCUGGCGCCAUCACAAUGCCAGACUUCCAGCUCUAUUACAAAGCUGUCAUCAUCAAGACAGUAUGGUACUGGCACAAAAACAGACACAUAGAUCAAUGGAACAGAAUAGAGAGCCCAGAAAUGGACCCUCAACUCUAUGGUCAACCAAUCUUCGACAAAAUAAGAAAUAUGGAAUGGAAAAAAGACAGUCUCCUCAACAAAUAGUUUUGGGAAAAUUGGACAGCCACAUGCAGAAGAAUGAAACUUACACCAUACACAAAAAUAGACUCAAAAUGGAGGAAAGACCUAAAUGUGAGACAAGUAUCCAUCGAAAUCCUAGAGGAGAACACAGGCAACCACCUUCUCGACCUCAGCCACAGCAACUUCUUGCUAGACACGUCUCCAAAGGCAAGGGAAACAAAGGCAAAAAUGAACUACUGGGACGUCAUCAGGAUAAAAAGCUUUUUGCACAGCAAAGGAAAUUGUCGGCAAAACCAAAAGACAACCGGCAGAAUGGGAGAAGAUAUUUGCAAAUGUCUUAUCAGAUAAAGGGUAGUCUCCAAAAUCUAUAGAGAACUUACCAAACUCAACACCCAAAGAGCAGAUAAUCCAGUCAAAAAAUGGGCAGAAGGGCGCGUGGGUAGCUCAGUCAUUAAGCGUCUGCCUUCGGCUCAGGUCAUGGUCCCAGUGUCCUGGGAUCAAGUCCCACAUCAGGCUCCCUCCUCAGCAGGAAGCCUGUUUCUCCCUCUCCCACUCCCCCUGCUUGUGUUCUCUCUCUCGCUGUGUGUCUCUCUGUCAAAUAAAUUAAAAAAAAAUUUUUUUAAAAAUGGGCAGAAGACAUGGACAGACAUUUCUCCAAGGAAUACCUACAAAUGGCCAACAGACACAUGAAAAAAUGCUCAACAUCACUCAGCAUCAGGGAAAUCCAAAUCAAAACCUCCAUGAGAUACCACCUCACACCAGUCAGAAUGGCUAAAAUUAACAAGUCAGGAAACGACAGAUGUUGGUGGGGAUGCAGAGAAAAGGGAACCCUCCUACACUGCUGGUGGGAAUGCAAGCUGGUGCAGCCACUCUGGAAAACAGUAUGGAGGUGCCUCAGAAAGUUGAAAAUAGAGCUACCCUUGGACUCAGCAAUUGCACUACUGGGUAUUUACCCCAAAGAUACAAAUGUAGGGAUCCGAAGGGGUACGUGCACCCCAAUGUUUUAGCAGCAAUGUCUACAAUAGCCAAACUAUGGAAGGCGCCCAGCUGUCCAUCGACAGAUGAAUGGAUAAAGAAGAUAUGGUAUAUAUAUACACAAUGGAAUAUUAUGCAGCCAUCAAAAAGAAUGAAGUCUUGCCAUUUGCAACCAUGUGGAUGGACCUAGAGGGCAUUACACUAAGUGAAAUAAGUCAAUCAGAGAAAGACAAGUAUCAUAUGAUCUCACUGAUAUGUGGAAUUUAAGAAACAAGGCAGAGGAUCAUAGGGGAAGAGAAGGGAAAAUGGAACAAGAUGAAAUCAGGGAGGGAGACAAACCAUAAGAGAGUCUUAAUCUUAGGAAGUGAGAGAAUGAGACAACACAGUCUGUUAAGACAUAGAACAGGGAUUGGCAAACUACAGCCUCCUGGCCAAAUCCAGCUCAGGGCCUCUUUUUUAAUAACCCAUGAGCUAAGGACUUGACUUGGGGACAUGGAGAAAGCCAGCUGGUCAUGUGUGGUUAGGUACGCCGACGGAAGCACCGGUUCUGAGGCGAAGUGGGCAUUACGGGGCGGGGGAGGGGCCAGGCUUAGCAGGAACAGUCACGUGCUCAGAGGCUUUAGGGGUUGCGCCGUGGCAGUCUGAGCAUGCCGGGGCAGGGCCGGCUCGGAGGAUUCCUGUUCGCGGAGCGGCACUAAGGGGGCGGAACUUCACAGGCGAGCAGAGCACGGAUUGGGUACAGAAAAAACGUACGGGGUCUCUAGGGCUGUUUGGUGGGAACCAAUCACGAGUCAAGAGGCACUACCAGGGGUGUGUUUGCGCAGGCGUUCUGGGGUGUCCCAAGUUGCAAUGCGCGCGAAGGGGUGAAGUUUUGUCAGGAAGCGCUUUGUCCUUCGGGUGGCGGGUGAGCUGAGAGGGCUGUACGGGAAGGCGCAGGUGCUGUGGGCAUUAUGAUGAGUGCGCCAGGUGGUCCUGGUGAACCCCGUGACCCUGGUGACCCCAGCGAGCCCGAAGGCCUGGGCAGUCCCGGAGGUCGCGGCGCUGAGGGAGAGGCGGGCGCCGCUUCUGGUGGCGUGUCCCAGAUGGAGCAGGCCCCCCACGCCCCAGGGCCUGACGGAGAUGCGGCACCCGCGGCUGGAGGUCCUGGGCACCGACUGCUCCAGUUCAUCCUCACUAUACCUUUCCCGUCGCCCGUGGAGGCGGAGAUUGCCGAGCGGUUCAUGACUCCAAAUGCUGAACUCCGAGGGCCAGCUCGGAAGGAGCUCAGUGUGAACGGCAGCGUCCUGACUGUCCGAUUGACUGCUGAGGACCCUGGCCAACUCCAAAUGUCCGUCACCUCCUGUCUUGACCAGGUUUCCCUGGUGAUGCGGAUCAUACAGCGCGUUGUGCCUCCCUUUUUUGCUAAGCCGCAGCAGGAAAAAGGGGGCUAGACCCAACCGCAUGUCCCGGCCUAGGCAUCCCGCUGGCGCACUGAUGCAUUGGUUGCCUAAUCUUUUGCCUGUACUGGCCCUUGGCUGCUUGGGAUCCAUGUGUUUUGUUUGGUAGUUAAAUGUUUAAUAAAUACAGAAAAUAG